UCCAGACUCCUACGGGAGGCAGCAGUGGGGGAUAUUGCACAAUGGGGGAAACCCUGAUGCAGCGACGCCGCGUGAGUGAAGAAGUAUUUCGGUAUGUAAAGCUCUAUCAGCAGGGAAGAAAAAAGACGGUACCUGACUAAGAAGCCCCGGCUAACUACGUGCCAGCAGCCGCGGUAAUACGUAGGGGGCAAGCGUUAUCCGGAUUUACUGGGUGUAAAGGGAGCGUAGACGGCAAUACAAGUCGGAAGUGAAAUACCCGGGCUUAACCUGGGAACUGCUUUGGAAACUGUAUGGCUGGAGUGCUGGAGAGGUAAGCGGAAUUCCUAGUGUAGCGGUGAAAUGCGUAGAUAUUAGGAGGAACACCAGUGGCGAAGGCGGCUUACUGGACAGUAACUGACGUUGAGGCUCGAAAGCGUGGGGAGCAAACAGGAUUAGAUACCCCUGUA
rnacentral:rRNA from 1 species